rnacentral:lncRNA from 1 species
GGGGUCCCAGGCCGAUUCCUUCAGCAAAUGCAGUCCUUGCAUCUCCCAGCUUUCAAAACUCUGCCAGGCUUGGAAUACCACCGUCCAAAGAUGAGACUCAUAUGUUCCUUCUUCCUCAUUCAUCUGAAGCAAGAAUGGAAGAUAUGAUGGGAGAUCAUGAACAUGACAUCAAGUGGCCUAAUGGAUUGACAUUCUUCAAUGCUCUCACCGGACGAAGUGACGAUGCUAAGCUUUUGUUCAAUCCUGAUGGUUUAGGUAGCAAGGCAGAGCAAAAUCAUCAUCCAAAUCCAAAUUCAGAUGCUUCAAGUUUGCAUAACAGUAGCGGUGCAAAUCCAAACGAGUUCUUGAGCUUGGAUAGCCAUCCAGAUAGCGUUAGGAAGAUGGAGAAUAAGUUCAAGAGGAGCUUUACAUUGCCUGCAAGAAUGAAUUCAUCUUCCUCAUCCACCUCACUAGAUCACCAUCAACAUAAUCCUGGAGAGUAUAGGAAUGAAGCAGGGAUGUAUUCUGAUGUCAUGGAAACUUUCCUGGAGUAAUUUGGCAAGGAUUGUAUGAGGGCAUUAAGGGUGCAA